GAGGCCUUAGUAGAAUUCUAAUGGUAUUUGGAACUUUGAAUGCAGUUAGAAGAACAUUCAUGGAUGCAGACGGAUUGAGAUGGGUGUCAUGACAAUAUCACUUGGUAAGAUAAGAGAUUUAUGGUGGUGACAAGUUUUCUGCUGAACUUCAAGAUCAAACAUUCAAAAUUAAUCCCUUUAAGAAGAAAAGAUUGGAUCAA